AAUGAACGCUGGCGGCAGGCCUAAUACAUGCAAGUCGAGCGCGCCUACGGGUGGCUGGCGUCUGGGACGGUACCGCGUGGGAAUUUGGUCUUCCCUAGGGAAUCUUCCUGGAAAACUGGGGGUAAUACCGGAUACGCCAUCUGGGGGAAAGUAUUAUCGAGGAAGGAGUGGCUCGAGUUGGAUUCGGUAGUUGGCGGGGUAAUGGCCUAGGAACCGGACCGUCUAUAGCAGGUUUGAGAGGAUGAUCAGCCACACUGGGACUGAGACACGGCCCAGACUCCUACGGGAGGCAGCAGUGGGGAAUCGUAGACAAUGGGGGCAGCCCUGAUCUAGCCAUGCCGCGUGAGUGAUGAAGGCCUUAGGGUUGUAAAGCUCUUGCAGCUGGGAAGAUAAUGACGGUACCAACAGAGAAAGCCCCGGCUAACUCCGUG
rnacentral:rRNA from 1 species